rnacentral:lncRNA from 1 species
UAUAAGAAUAUGUAUAUAUAUAUAGUUUAUUAUACACUUCUAUAGUUAAUUUUAUUUGUGAUUUGUUAAACAGGGAGAAGAGCUGAAGAUCUUACUGAAGAACUUACCAAAGAUCUUAAACUGAACAUUAAUGAUUUCUUAAUGGACAAAGACUGUUGAAGCUCUGGGACAGUGGUCACAAUAUUACCUACCCUGCUAGAAAAUGCCUGACAACUCCACAAAAGACCACAAUAUUUGAUGAUUAUGGAAGUAAUAAGGGAGAGGAACAAGACAGAGGAAAAGUUGAAACAGGCUUUGAUAUACGUUUGUGUUCUAGAGGAAGCAAAUUAGCUCCAAAAUAUGGAAAUGAAGACACAGGGGUAAGACUUCACUCUCUAAGGAUGUAUCUUGGAGAAACAGCACUUUUGUUUGGGAGCUGGAUCUGAAUCAAGCUC